UAGAGCAGAGAAAUCGAGCUUGUUUAAGUUCCACAUGUCCCUAAAACAGAAGGAAAAACGUGAGUAGUCAUAUGGUAAGCUAUAAACAUAUAUCGUAAAACAUACAGGUUCUAUAGGCAUGUACUGGUUUAAUUGAUGCAUGAAAACUACAGGUUUCAUGUGGUAUGUUUUGAAUAAAAACUGCGGGUUUCAAAGGUACUAAAUUUGAAAUUACAAGUUCAAUUUAGUUUUAUGAACAAUUAGUUCAUAAUGAGAUGUUCCUGCAAGAAACACAGAAUGCAAUAUACUAAUUUGAAUAUAGUGGAUUUGAGGUUCUUCGAGAACUCAAGUGUGAGAGCGUCGUUACUACGAAAGUAUGUGAUGGUUCAAAGUAAAAAAAUAAAUUAUUGAAUCGUUAAUGUCCAAAAGUGAUCUUUAGGUCAAUAAUUUUGGAUUCAUUAUUAUAUUAAUGGACUGCAUGACUCAAUCAAGUACUCGUAAUCCAAGUGGGAUUGCAGUUAUUAAAUUGAAAAUAUGACUUCACCCCUGGAACAUAUAUUUUUCAUCUAAAACCCGACAUAAUUGUUUUACUUGAUUAAAACCCAGUGAUUAGGAUCCCCAUAAGCAUAUUCCUUAAUGAGCUUGAAUUCAAAUAUUUUACAUGUUUCCAAUGGCUAAAUUAUCCCUAACAAUAUAUCAAGUUUUUUUUUUUUAACAAACAAUAUUUUUUACACUAAAGGAGGGGUGAACUUAGCCUCAUAAUGAGCUAGCAAUAAUGAGGUCUAAAUUUGCCUUUGGCGAAAAUUGAAGGUAAGACCUCUCUCUUUAACAAUUGUUCUUGCUUCUUAUUUUUUGUUUGAAAUUGAUUUAUUAUAUGCCACUAGGUAAAUUUGUGCUUGUAAAUAUAGAUAAAUUAGUGUAAAUAUAGGUAAAUUAGUGUAUUUCUUAUGUGAUGUCAUAAAAUAAUGUAUCUAUUCUUUUCUCACCCUUUAGUUGUAAUACUUCGUUGUAUGAAAAUAAUGUGCUUAUAUUGUGUCGGUAGGUAAUUAUUGCACAUGAAAAUGCAGGUAAAUAACUUAUAUAUACCAUAUAAGUAAAUUAGUGAAUCAACAAAUUCUAAAUGGGUACAUUAAUGAUAUAUAAAUAGACAAAACAUUAUGAAACUCAUUGAAGGCGCAAAACAAGGAGUAAAUCAUCCAUAUUGACAUGAUUGGAGAAUACUUGCAAUUUUGUAAAAUAAUUGCAGUAAUCGGUCAACUAUUUCUCUAGCUUGCAACUCAUAUUAAAUUUUGGGUUUUAUUUAGAGGUUAAGAAGUGCACGGGUAUAUUGAACUCCCGAAAAAAAAAAAAAAAAAAAAAAAACAAACAAACAGGUGAGUUUACGUUUAUGAAAUAAGAGUUACAAGUCUAUAAACAACCUUUAAACCAGAAGUUCCGCCGCCAUAGUUGUCGUACUGAACCUCGUGCAUGGUCUCAUUGGCCAUAGUCUCUCAGUUGUAAGUCCAACCAACAUUCCGAAGAGCCGCAGAAACUUGAAGCUCCUCCCUCCCGGAUUCUAAGAAAUACAGAGCUUAUGCUAGUACAGCAAUAGACCCAUUAGCCCAUAUCUAUUGGGGAACAAACUGAUACGAGUGAUUCAUAAUGAUGUUGACUGAUUAACCCUUGUCUAUUGUGGAACAAAUACACGUGAUUCAUAUUGAUUUAGACACUACACUGAGUAUAUGGUCCCCCCGCUAAAUGUACAGUACGUAUGUGGUCCAUAUGUCAAAAAGACGAUACAAUAAGUCCCCAUGUUAAAUGUACAGUACGUAUGUGGUCCAUAUUAGAUCUGACAUUUGUGUCCUGUUUUUCGUAUUCGUGUCAGUUUCAUGUCAUACCUGAUAUCUUAACGGAUCGUGUCGUGUAAUACCCGUUAAAAUAAACGGGUAAAAUAAUCCGACCCGAAAUCAACCCGAUAAUAUAAACAGGUAAUAUGACCCGACCUGUUACCUAUUAAGGAAAAUAUAUUUUAAACCAAUAAAUAAUCAAAUGAAAAACAUAAUACUCAAUAAGUAUAUACAUAUCUUAUUGUCACAUCCAAAACAUAAAAACGUAUUUUUCUUUUAAGUAUAUUUUCACUUACCUAAAGUCUUUAAUAGUUUUUUAAUUAAUGUAGAAGGGUAAAAAAAUAUAAAAAAUAUAUAUAAACGCUCAUAAUGACAAGCUUUACAACUUUCAUGAAUAGCUUAACUUUGAAAUUCGCCAUUAUAAUCAUAUAAAUCAUAGAUCAAAAUUUAACUGUUGAUUGUUGUUUACAUUUACGCUUCAUUGUUCUCAUCAAAAUUUUUUUUUCUUCAGAUUUUCUUUUUUGAAAACUUGAUCUAUUAGAGGAUGCAGAAAGAUAAACUGUUUGGAUCGUUGAUAUUAUAUUUAGAGUUUCACGGUUAGUGAAAAUAUUGCUUGAUGUUUAUAAAGUUUCUACAAACUAUAUGACAUCGACUCAUAUUUCAGUUAACCGUAAAUAUCAAAACGUGAUAUCAAAGAUCUGAAUCGUUCAUCUUCUUACAUCUGCCAGAUGAUCAUGUUUUCAAAAGAAGAUAAUUUUUAAAAUAAAAUUCAGUAAGAAGAAUAAAGUGUAAAUGACAAUCGACGGUUAAAUAUAAAUUGAAGGUUUAUAAAUUAUAGUGUUGGAUUUCGAAGCUGACCCCUUCAUGAAAGCUGUAAAGUUUGUCACUAUGAGUGAUUUUGUAUUUUUUUUAUACAUUUUUUACACUUCUACAAUAAUUAUUAUUAAUUUUAUUAAUUUUGUCCUCAAAUAAAAAAUAUUAUUCAUGAAGGUUUGGAAGAUUUUAAAAAUCUAAACGAUAAUGUAAGUGUAACCAUUAUCUACUCGUGGAGGAAUAAUGAUGACUUGCGAGUGUUUAUAUAUUUUUUCAUAUUUUUCAUACUUGUAUGUAUGUCUUCUUAGUUUUUGCCUAUACAAAUAAUAUAUUAGUUUAUUUUAAUUUUGGACAACAACAUGUUAAUUAAAAUUUAUCUUAGUAAUGAUAAUAAGGAACUCUCAUAAUAAAAAUAAAUAAUGACAAAAACUUUUUUUUUUAAACUUAUAUAAAAUAAUAAUACAAAACUUUAUAUUUAAUAUAGAAUAUAUUGUAUAUAUUAAUAUAGCUAUUGUAUUUUAUAAUAAAUCUUUUAGUAAUUAAACUUUAAAAUUAUCAAAAUAAAUUUUUUCCUAACGGGUCGAAACGGGUUACCCGCAUGUAUACCCGUUCAAAAUCCGUUAUUAACGGGUUCUUAACAGGUCACCCGAUAAGUUAUCGUGUUGACCCGAAAUCCGUUAUUUUUCGUGUCGUGUCACUGUUCCAUGUGAGAAAUUACCGGGUCUAGUCCAUAUGUUAAAUAGACAAUAGAAUAAGUCCCUAUGUUAAUUAGACUACACGUAUGUGGUCCAUAUGUUAAAUAUACCAUAAGCAGGGUUCUAAAAAACAUUAGGUGCUAGUCGGGCGGCGAGCUAGUGCCUAGCGCUUAGGCGGCCUAGGCGGAUUUAGGUAAAUUUCUUGUAUAUCUUGUAAAUAAGUGCAUAUUGACACUUACAAAAAAUUAUACUUGUAUGAAAUUCAUGGAUAAGAUAAUAAAAAAAUGAUAAAAUGCAAAAAGAGUAUCCAACAAGUUCAAAAUUUUAAAACACAUUAAGCAUAUAUGUCAUAUAACCAUAAUGAGGAGUAUUGUAGGAUGACACAUGUACGACAAGCUGACAAUUUAAAACCACAUAUUCAGCGGAUUUAAGUAAAUUUAUUAUAUAUCAUAUAAAUAAGUGUUUGUUCAUAUCUAAAAUAUACAUAAUUUCAUUUAAAAUUAUAAGAUAAUCAAAUUUAAACAUUAAAUAAUAUGUUCUUUUUUAAGCGAGAGCUUUAACAUUUUAAGUACAUAAUAAAAAUACAUAUGGUAUGAUCUUAAAAAAAUAAAAUAAAACAUUACAACAAAAAAAUAAAAAAAAGAAUGAAAAGUAAUAACGGGUUAAGAGUGGAAAAAGAAAAGGGCAUAAAAAGUAGUAAAAAAAUGGUGAGAACCAUUCAAAGAAAACGUGCAGUCUGUAAUGGAUGCUUUUCCUAGAUAAAAGAUGGUGGGGACCAUCUUGAUUGAAUCAUGCAAACUGAAUAAUGAUCCAUGUUUACAACCAGACAAAAACAGAAACAAUAUUAAAAACAAAAUAAAUAUGUUAUAGUCGUAAUAAAUAAAUUAGCCUUAUGCAGAAACCAAGAUAAAAAACAAAUAAACAAAUUAAACAGCACAGGAAACAAGGAGAAAAAAUAGAUAAACUAAUUAACUAGCACAGGAACCAAGGAGAAAGAAAAUAAAGUAAAGCAUCAUCUUCAUCUUCUUCGCGUUGAGUUGCACGACGGCUCUGCAACAAUUUUUUCAGAUUCUGGCGUGCUCUACGUAGGCCCUCCUAGCCUUCGCCCAACACCGUCCUGACCAGCAUAACUCCGCCUAGUCCCACCUAAUCCCGCUUAAGCGUCCGUCAAAUAUAUUUCCGAUUUUGUGUCCGAUUAGACCAUCUCCAACCCUUGGGCUAAAAGCCAAAUUUUUUAGCCCGGAAAAUUUAGCUUUUAGCCCAGAAACAUCUUUUCUGCUCCAACCCUUCUACUCUAAAAUUUUAGCCCGGAAUUAUUAAAGAAUGAAAUUAGCCUAAAUUUUUUUCUUAAAUCAAUUUUUAAAAAAAAAAUAAAUAUGUAGAUUAUUGUAAAUUAAUUUUAUGAACAUUUUAAUCUAAAAAAAUUUAAAUUCCGAUAAACAUUUCGCAUUUAGCCCGGGGGGAAUUUGGGGGGGAAUUUGGCCCAACUUUAGCAUUCCCCUUUUAGCCCAAUAUUUUAGCUUGGGUUGGGGGGUGUUUGGGGGGAAUUUUGGGCUAAAUAUUUGGCAUUUAGCCCAGGGUUGGAGUAGGUCUUAGAAGCUAAUCGCAGCAGCAACCGAACGCCCAGCGCCUAGGCGACCGCCUAGACCGACUUUUAGAACACUGACCAUAAUUGUAUGCAGUGGCGAAGCCAGGAUUUGCCGAGAAGAGAGGUGAAAUUUAAAAGAGUGCAAGAUUCAAUUGAAGCGGUUACUUUUAUAUUAGAGAGUGCAAAGUUUUGAGUCCAUAUUUAUAGCAGAAAAUAGUGUCUCCACCAAAGCGGUUGUAAGCAGUAAUAUCAAAGCCAAUGUAAUAAGCUUAAAUUGGCUAGGUUUAUAUUCUAAAAAAAAUACGCUAGUCAAGCAGCUAACUGGAACCUAGUAGCUAGGCGCCUAGGAGAGAUCUAGGUAGGAGCCUAGUGGGAUUUAAAUGAAUUUCUUUUAUCGUAAAAUAAGCAUUAUGUUGUAAGCCUAUUUGAUUGAACGAUCUAGGGUUUAGAGAGAGAGAAGGGGCCGACUAUGGUUAGAGAGAAGAGAGUGAUUUAAUUGUGAGGUGUGUUUGAUUCACCCUAUUGUGUCUUUAUUUAUAGUAGUAGGAUAGGUAAAAACCUUUCCCUUUAGGAUCACAACAUUUAAUAGGUAAUCAACUCCUAAUAGGAAUAGAAGAUACAUUCCCAGAUUCCCUAGGAUUUAUACAAUCACAUUCCUAUUCUAAAUAUGACUGCAACACUCCCCCUUGAGUGUGUAAAUACUCAACAAACCAUCGCAUCAGAUCUUCAGCAGAUAAGGUAGAAUAGUUGAUGAAGUCAUCGGCACAACGGAUGAUUGCGAGUCUCAAAUUUAAGUGAAGUAUGCAUUUGUAGUAAAACUCACAAAAAUAUCGUUAUGGUAAAACCCAAGUCAUGGGGAAAACCCAUGGACUAAGGAGAAAAGUGAGAAGUAUGUAUAAUGUCUUUAAACAAACGUCAAAUUGGACGAAGGUAGUGAACUCAAUGGAGUAUGAUCAUCCCAAGAUGAGUGUCUCAUUAAAACCUCGUUAGGUAGCAAAAACCCAGUGGAAAAUGCUCUUAAUCGUAGGAAAAAGAGUACAUUAAGAUCAUGUGAGUAUGUUUCUAGAUAUUCCCCCUGAGUUAGACAUAACUUCUAAAUAAGAGAACUACAAGCGACUCAACUCAGAUAAUUUAAGCAUUUUGAUUCCUUGGACGAGCUUCUGAAAAGUAGACUUGGGCAAUAACUUGGUGAAGAGAUCAGCCAGGUUGUCCUGGGAACGGAUUUGCUUGACCUCAAUGUUCUGAUGCUACUACUGUUGGUGUGAGUAAAAGAACUUCGGGUUAUGUGCUUGGUUUUGUCUCCCUUGAUGUAUCCCUUCUUCAACUGCUUGAUACAUGUCGCAUUGUCUUCAAAUAUCGUCGUAAGAAGGUCAACGACUGAUGUAAGACCACUAAUGCUUCAAAUAUGUCCUAUAAGAUAUAGCGGUGUCUCUAAAGGUAAAGACAUAUCCUGUUUGAGAACGUGCCAUGUGUGGGUCAAACAGAUAUCCAGCAUCUGCGUAACCAACAAGGCGAGAAUCAAUCCGAGAACCAUAAGGGGCGGUAACACUCGAAGAUUCGUAGGUAUAGAACAAGCCCAAAUCCGUUGUACUUUUGAGGUAGCGAAAAAUGUCUUUAACAUCAUUCCAGUAACUGCAUGUGGGCGCAUUGCUGUAUCUUGCCAAAAUGUUCACAGCAAAUGAGAUGUCGGGUCUAAUGCACUGAGCCAAGUACAAUAAAGCCCCAAUUGCACUUAGGUAAGGAACUUUGGGUUCCAAAAUCUCUUCCUCAUCCCCUUUUGGAUGGAAGGAAUCUCGUUUAGCAUCUAGAGUCCGAACGACCAUGAGUGUACUCGAAGGUUUCGCUUUAUCCUCAUUAAAAGGAUGUAACACCUUUUGGGUGUAGUUCAAUUAAUGUACUAGGAUUCCAUGCAAACAAUGCUCGAUCUCCAGGCCAAGACAGUAUCGAGUUUUACCAAGAUCCUUCAUCUCAAAUUCCGAUUUCAAAUGCGCAUCAAUUUCCUCAUGCUUUACGGGACUCCCAAUGAGGUUCAUGUUAUCGACAUAAACUGCAACGAUUGCAAAUAAGGAAUGUGACCUCUUUAUGAACACGCAUGGGCAUAAUUCGUUGUUCACAUAACCCUGAUUUGUUAAAUAUUCACUCAGACGGUUAUACCACAUUCGCCCGGAUUGUUUCAAUUCGUAGAGUGACCUCCUCAACCUAAUAGAGAAAGUGUUCCAUGGUCUAGAACUAUUUGAACUAGUCAAUGGAAGUCCUUCUGGAACUUUCAUGUAAAUUUAUGUAUCUAGAUCCCCAUAGAGAUAAGCGGUUACCACGUCCAUAAGCUGCAUAUUCAGUUUUUUGAAAACUAUCAAACUGAUUAGGUAAUAGAAUAUUAUAAUGUCCAUUGCGGGGGAAUUCGUCUCCUUGUAAUCAAUCCCACGGCGCUGAGAAAAACAUUGUGCUACGAGGCGUGCUUUGUAUCACACUAUUUCAUUAUUCUCAUUAUGCUUCCUCACAAAAACCCACUUGUAGCCAACGGGCUUCAAGCGUGGUGGUGUAGGAACGAUAGGUCCAAAUACCUUACGUUUCAUGAACGAAUCGAGUUCAACCUAGAUUGCUUGUUUCCAGUUUGACCAAUCAGUUCUACGUCGGCAUUCAUCCAUCAAAGAAACGUGGUUCAAUGUCAUCGGUAAGCAUGAUAUCAGUAGCUACUGAAUACGCGAAUGCAUCAUCGACAAUCAUCUUAUUCAUAUUCCAAACCUUAUCCAAUAUUACGUAAUGGACCAAAAUCUUGUGAUUCUCGAGAGGCUGGCAUGUUUCAUCUAAAGCAUCACCAUAAUCUAGAAUAACCUAAUGCGUUGGAACAGAUGAGUGAGUGAUGGUCGGAUUCAACCUCUAGGGGUAAACACCUUAAAAAAAACAUGUCUAAUUUAUUCAUCCAUAAGCGUUGACGCCUCCUGAAAAUUUGAUAUCUCCAUUGAUGUAGUUGCAUCUUCCGGAUGAUCCACAUGUGCAAAGUUAGAUUAAUGACAGGAAUGAUACUUGGCAAUAGCCUCAGGGGAAGCUCGACAUAAGCAUGACCAAUGAUCCCUUGAUCCACAACGAUAACACAUGUCCAGUUCAGUAAAAGCAGACUGAACGGGAGCUUUGCCCUUAUUCUUGAAGUUUAAGGCUUUAGGGGAGAGUGGUGGACGCUGAUGGGUCACAUUUUUUUCCCUUAGGUGUGACACUCUAUUGACAUUGGGCUCGUGGUUGGGCUUGCUGCUCGUUGCCACGGCUACGACGAUUCUUUCAUCGUUUAUGGCUCCUAAAAUAGGUCGCAUGCGCUUCAGCCUAGGCGUUCGAGCCAGUGGGGUCAAGCUUGAUGAUUCUUCAUCAAAAGCUGGUUCUGCUUUCAGCAAGAAGGAAUACAGAGAUGAAAUCCGAAAACUUGGUGAAUUUAUGUGCCUUAUAUUGUUGCUGCAGGACAAUAUUGGUGGCAUGGAAAGUGGAAUAAGUCUUCUCCAGGAGAUCAGAUUCGUGAAAACUACAGAAGGAAAAACGUGAGUAGUCAUAUGGUAAGCCAUAAACAUAUAUCGUAAAACAUACAGGUUCUGUAGGCAUGUAUUGGUUUAAUUGAUGCAUGAAAACUACAGGUUUCAUGUGGUAUGUUUUGAAUGAAAACUUCGGAUUUCAAAGGCACUAAAUUUGAAACUACAAGUUCAAUUUAGUUUUAUGAACAAUUAGUUCAUAAUGAGAGGUUCCUGCAAGAAACACAUAAUGCAAUAUACUAAUUUGAAUAUAGUGGAUUUGAGGUUCUUCGGGAACUCAAGUAUGAGAGCUUCGUUACUACGAAAGUAUGUGAUGGUUCAAAGUAUAAAAAUAAAUUAUUAAAUCGUUAAUGCCCAAAAGUGAUCUUCAGGUUAAUAAUUUUGGAUUCAUUAUUAGAUUAAUGGACUGCAUGACUCAAUCAAGUACUCGUAAUCCAAGUGGGAUUGCAGUUAUUAAAUUGAAAAUAUGACUUCACCCCUGGAACAUAGAUUUUUCAUCUAAAACCCGACAUAAUUGUUUUACUUGAUUAAAACCCAGUGAUUAGGAUCCCCAUAAGCAUAUUCCCUAAUUAAGCUUGAAUUCAAAUAUUUUACAUGUUUUCAAUGGCUAAAUUAUCCCUAAUAACAAUUGGAUUUAGACAUUUCUUUUCCUAUUCUAUAUCAUUUUUUUUAACAAACAAUAUUUUCUACACUAAAGGAGGGGUGAACUUAGCCUCAUAAUGAGCUAGCAAUAAUGAGGUCCAAAUUUGCCUUUGGCGAAAAUUGAAGCUAAGACCUCUCUCUUUCACAAUUGUUCUU
rnacentral:lncRNA from 1 species